UACAGACCAAGUUAUUAAGAGCUAUUGGUGGAUGCCUUGGCAUUGACAGGCGAUGAAGGAUGCGUUUACCUGCAGUAAUCUUCGGCGAGCUGGUAUAAAGCUAUGACCCGGAGGUCUCCGAAUGGGGCAACCCGGUAGAUUAAUCAUCUACCAUUAUACGUUGAAUAUAUAGGCGUAUAAGGCAACACCCGCUGAACUGAAACAUCUUAGUAAGCGGAGGAAAAUAAAUCAAAGAGAUUCCCUGAGUAGCGGCGAGCGAAAGGGGAGAAGACCAAACCACGUUUUUAAUGUGGGGUUGUAGGGUCGAUAACAUGGGAUCUUAAGUUUUAGUUGAAUACUUCUGGAAAGUAGAACGAUACAGGGUGAUAGUCCCGUAAACGAAAAAACAAGAGACUCUAUUCGAUACCUGAGUAGGGCUAGACACGUGAAACCUAGUCUGAAUCUGGGGAGACCACUCUCCAAGUCUAAAUACUAGUCGAUGACCUAUAGUGAACCAGUACUGUGAAGGAAAGGUGAAAAGAACCCUUGUUAAGGGAGUGAAAUAGAACCUGAAACCAGUAGCUUAUAAGCGGUCGAAGACCUAUAACUUCU
rnacentral:rRNA from 1 species